rnacentral:rRNA from 1 species
AACGAACGCUGGCGGCAGGCUUAACACAUGCAAGUCGAGCGAGACCUUCGGGUCUAGCGGCGGACGGGUGAGUAACGCGGGGGAACGUGCCCUUCUCUACGGAAUAGCCCCGGGAAACUGGGAGUAAUACCGGAUACGCCCUUUGGGGGAAAGAUUUAUCGGAGAAGGAUCGGCCCGCGUUGGAUUAGGUAGUUGGUGGGGUAAUGGCCGACCAAGCCGACGAUCCAUAGCUGGUUUGAGAGGAUGGUCAGCCACACUGGGACUGGGACACGGCCCAGACUCCUACGGGAGGCAGCAGUGGGUGAUCUUAGACAAUGGGGGCAACCCUGAUCUAGCCCUGCCGCGUGAGUGAUGAAGGCCUUAGGGUUGUAAAGCUCUUUCAGCUGGGAAGAUAAUGACGGUACCAGCAGAAGAAGCCCCGGCUAACUCCGUG